rnacentral:rRNA from 1 species
GUGCCAGCAGCCGCGGUAAUACGUAGGGGGCAAACGUUGUCCGGAUUUACUGGGUGUAAAGGGUGCUCAGGCGGUCUUGUAAGUUAGAAGUGAAAUCCUAGGGCUCAACUCUGGAACUGCUUUUAAUACUGCAAGGCUUGAAUAUGGAAGAGGAGGGUGGAAUUUCUGGUGUAGCAGUGAAAUGCGUAGAUAUCAGAAAGAACACCAGUGGCGAAGGCGGCCCUCUGGUCCAUUAUUGACGCUAAAGCACGAAAGCGUGGGGAGCAAACAGGAUUAGAUACCCUGGUAGUCC